CCUACGGGAGGCAGCAGUGGGGAAUAUUGGGCAAUGGGCGCAAGCCUGACCCAGCAACGCCGCGGGAAGGAAGAAGGCUUUCGGGUUGUAAACUUCUUUUCUCAGGGACGAAGCAAGUGACGGUACCUGAGGAAUAAGCCACGGCUAACUACGUGCCAGCAGCCGCGGUAAUACGUAGGUGGCAAGCGUUAUCCGGAGUUACUGGGGGGAAAGGGCGGGUAGGCGGGGACGCAAGUCAGAUGUGAAAACCACGGGCUCAACCUGUGGCCUGCAUUUGAAACUGUGUUUCUUGAGUACUGGAGAGGCAGACGGAAUUCCUAGUGUAGCGGUGAAAUGCGUAGAUAUUAGGAGGAACACCAGUGGCGAAGGCGGUCUGCUGGACAGCAACUGACGCUGAGGCGCGAAAGCGUGGGGAGCAAACAGGAUUAGAUACCCUAGUAGUC
rnacentral:rRNA from 1 species